rnacentral:rRNA from 1 species
AUGUCUUCUCUAAUUUUGACAGUCCGUGAGUUUAGAGUAUGGUUAUACUUUUGCUUAGGCAGGGUAAUUGCUUUUCUUACUGGUGCUCCUGAUUAUGAAGAUGGUCAACUAGACACUAAGAAAUAUGGUGAGCAAUAUGCUAACAAAGGGGAAGAUGUUGACCUCAUGUUGCUCCCUGAGCAGAUACCUUCCUAUAGAGAUCCGUUAACUCAUGGAGCAAAUCCUUACAGUACCUUCUUCCUGAUGAAUGUAGCUCUGGCGGCAGCACGGGCAGACGAGCAGCAGCAGUACGGGUAG